rnacentral:rRNA from 1 species
UACGGAGGGCGCAAGCGUUGUUCGGAAUUACUGGGCGUAAAGCGCGUGUAGGUGGCCUGGCAAGUCGGGUGUGAAAUCCCGGAGCUCAACUCCGGAACUGCAUCCGAUACUGCCAAGCUCGAGUCUCGGAGAGGAUGGCGGAAUUUCCGGUGUAGAGGUGAAAUUCGUAGAUAUCGGAAGGAACACCAGUGGCGAAGGCGGCCGUCUGGACGAUGACUGACACUGAGAAGCGAAAGCGUGGGGAGCAAACAGG